CAGAGGUCUCGAGCGUUGUUCGGAUUCAUUGGGCGUAAAGGGUGCGUAGGCGGCGGGGUAAGUCUGAUGUGAAAUCCCGGGGCUCAACCCUGGAACUGCAUUGGAUACUGCCUUGCUAGAGAGCUGGAGAGGAAACUGGAAUUUACGGUGUAGCAGUGAAAUGCGUAGAGAUCCGGAGGAACACCGACGGCGAAGGCAGCCUUCUGGAAAGUACCUGACGCUGGAGGGGCGAAAGCUAGGG
rnacentral:rRNA from 1 species